AUUGAACGCUGGCGGCAGGCCUAACACAUGCAAGUCGAGCGAGCGGCGCACGGGUGAGUAAUGUCUGGGAAACUGCCUGCUGGAGGGGGAUAACUACUGGAAACGGUAUCUAAUACCGCAUACCCUCAGAUGUGCCCCGAUGGGAUUAGCGAGUGGGUGGGGUAACGGCUCACCUAGGCGACGAUCCCUAGCUGGUCUGUGAGGAUGACCAGCCACACUGGAACUGAGACACGGUCCAGACUCCUACGGGAGGCAGCAGUGGGGAAUAUUGCACAAUGGGCGCAAGCCUGAUGCAGCCAUGCCGCGUGUGUGAAGAAGGCCUUCGGGUUGUAAAGCACUUUCAGCGGGGAGGCGUUACCCGCAGAAGAAGCACCGGCUAACUCCGUGCCAGCAGCCGCGGUAAUAC
rnacentral:rRNA from 1 species